CCUGGCAUUACUCAUCACCCACUGGCACUUCUUUUUGCUUCCCCUUUCUUAUUUGCUCUUAGGCCCAGGUGCUGCAAAGGUAAAUUACAGCAACAAGAUGCUGAAAAUGUGUUGUGAAAGUCAGAGCAGGCUCCUAACUGCACAGUCAAGCAGGCAUAGAAGCGAUUUCUCACCCUGUCAAGACAAAAUGAGACAGAAGUGGAUCAGCAGGUGCUGAGAGUACAGACAAAGGAAGGGAGCAGGGUAGAAUUAAGAAAGGAUGUCAAGAGAUAUUAUAUAAAUAACAUGGGUUGCUUGACUUUGAGUAGAGAAGAAAAGACAUCUUAGGAGUCAUCUGAGAUACUUGAAGAUAUCCUGCUCCCCAGCUGCUUCUCCUAAAGGAUGCUGAUCUCUCAGAGGUUGUGUCUGUCAACUGUGUAUGAGCAUUUCAGAUGGCACUGAACCACGCCAAAGUCUGAGCAGCUAAAUCCAGCACCUUUGCCUGCUAGCUAAAUAUCUCUUUUAGACUGUAUUAACUGUAAUGGAAACUUAGGCACCAAGGUAACAUCUGACAUCUGGACUUUUGCAUUUACUUAC
ensembl:lncRNA